rnacentral:rRNA from 1 species
UUUUUUUGCAUUUUUCAUAAGCGGAGGAAAAGAAACCAACAGGGAUUGCCCUAGUAACGGCGAGUGAAGCGGCAACAGCUCAAAUUUGAAAUCUGGCUCUCGGGCCCGAGUUGUAAUUUGUAGAGGAUACUUUUGAUGCGGUGCCUUCCGAGUUCCCUGGAACGGGACGCCAUAGAGGGUGAGAGCCCCGUCUGGUUGGAUGCCAAAUCUCUGUAAAGUUCCUUCGACGAGUCGAGUAGUUUGGGAAUGCUGCUCUAAAUGGGAGGUAUAUGUCUUCUAAAGCUAAAUACCGGCCAGAGACCGAUAGCGCACAAGUAGAGUGAUCGAAAGAUGAAAAGCACUUUGAAAAGAGAGUUAAAAAGUACGUGAAAUUGUUGAAAGGGAAGCGUUUAUGACCAGACUUGGGCUUGGUUAAUCAUCUGGGGUUCUCCCCAGUGCACUUUUCCAGUCCAGGCCAGCAUCAGUUUUCGCCGGGGGAUAAAGACUUCGGGAAUGUGGCUCUCUUCGGGGAGUGUUAUAGCCCGUUGUGUAAUACCCUGGCGGGGACUGAGGUUCGCGCAUCUGCAAGGAUGCUGGCGUAAUGGUCAUCAACUACCCGUCUUGAACACGGAAACCA